rnacentral:rRNA from 1 species
AUUGAACGCUGGCGGUAGGCCUAACACAUGCAAGUCGAGCGGCUGAACGGAGCUUGCUCCUGGAUUCAGCUGCCGAGGGGCGGGUGAUGGCUAGGUACCUCCCUGGUUGCGGUGUCUUGCGUCCGGACGCGGGGGCUCAUACCCCAUUCCCCCAUACGGCGUACGGGUGGAAGCUUCGGAUCUUCCGAUCUUACGCGAGCCUAUGUCGGGAUGUCGGAUUAGCUAGUUGGCGGGGUAAAGGCCCACCAAUGCGACGAUGCGUAGCUGGUCUGAGAGGAUGAUCAGCCACACUGGAACUGAGACACGGUCCAGACUCCUACGGGAGGCAGCAGUGGGGAAUAUUGGACAAUGGGCGAAAGCCUGAUCCAGCCAUACCGCGUGUGUGAAGAAGGUCUUCGGGUUGUAAAGCACUUUUGUUGGGGAAGAAAAGCAGUAAGUUAAUACCCCGCUGUUCUGACGGUACCAACAGAAUAAGCACCGGCUAACUUCGUG